AACGAGGCAUUUGCUGCCUCUGGCAGGUGGCACAUAGAGACGGCAGCUGAUAAGGAGAUAAGAAUUCUUAUAAAAGAGAAAGGAAUUCCUGAAUUCAGCAUCAGUCUUUGUGACUGAUCCAAUGAUUGCUGCUUAGCUCGCUGCUGGAGACUGAGCUGAAGACAAACUGCUGCUAUGCUGUGCUACUGCUGAUCACAGAGGCCUGCCUCCCUGUAGCAUAGAAGAGGCAAAGAAGACCAAGCCAGUGGAGAAAUCUAACUGUUUCAAGUCAGACACUUCGAAGAGAACUCAGAGCUUGAAUGAAGGAAAUCUACCAAAUAGCAGAUAUGCUGGCAACCAGAGGUGACAGUUGUGAAACUUUGGCUCUCUAUAGCAGCGUUCCCCAAGCUGGUGCCCUCCAGAUGUUUUGGACUACAGUUCCUAUCAGCCAUUAAUGCACAG